GCCUGGGUGGCUCAGUUGGUUAAGCGGCCGACUUCAGCUCGGGGCACGGUCUCGAGGUCUCGCGAUCUCGUGAGUUCGAGCCCCGCCUCGGGCU
rnacentral:tRNA from 1 species